GCCGCAGGUUCGGGUCUCACGUAGUGAGACAACGGAGCCGCUUGCGGCGACGGCCCGAAGGGCGAGCAAAGCGAGUCAUCCUGCACGACCCACCA
rnacentral:sRNA from 6 species